rnacentral:snoRNA from 1 species
CAGAUUGGAAUUUGGAAAACCGUUUAUUACUGAGCUCAGGACUGAAAGGAGGCAGCCCAGGAAGCAGGAGGGGGUUUUAAAACCAGAAACCACGAGGAGGAGGAGUAGCGUUCCUUCCUGAGCGUGAAGCUGGCUCUCGAUGUUGUCUUGCUGUAACUGCCGUUUGCCAUUGAUGAUCGUUCUUGCUUCUUCCCGGGUGGCAGGCAGAAUAAGCGGGCUCUGAGGGU